rnacentral:rRNA from 1 species
GGGUUAGUCAGGACCUAAGGCGAGGCUGAAAAGCGUAGUCGAUGGACAACAGGUUAAUAUUCCUGUACUUUCUUUAAUUGUGAUGGAGUGACGGAGAAGGAUAAGCAUACCUAUUAUUGGAUUUAGGGGUAAGUAGUUACUGGUGAUUGUAGGCAAAUCCGCAAUCUAUAACUGGGAGCUAUGAUGCAUAGGACUUUUGUCUGAAUUUGCCAAUUCCAUGCUUCCUAGAAAAGUUUCUAAACUUAAUUUUAUUGAAACCUGUACCAAGAACGGACACACGUCCCCAAGAUGAGUAUUCUAAGGCGAGCGAGAAAACUAGUGUUAAGGAACUCUGCAAAAUGACCCCGUAAGUUCGCAAGAAGGGGCGCCUAUGGUAACACAUAGGCCACAGUAAAUUAUGAGGGGCAACUGUUUAUCAAAAACACAACUCUCUGCUAAACCGCAAGGUGAUGUAUAGGGGGUGAAGCCUGCCCAGUGCCCGAAGGUUAAGUGGAUGCGUUAGCUUAUGCGAAGCGUUGAAAUGAAGCCCGGGUGAACGGCGGCCGUAACUAUAACGGUCCUAAGGUAGCGAAAUUCCUUGUCGGCUAAAUACUGACCUGCACGAAAGGCAUAAUGAUCUCUCAACUGUCUCAACACUAGACUCGGUGAAAUUAUGGUCCCAGUGAAAACGCUGGGUUCCCGCAUCAAGACGAAAAGACCCCAUGGAGCUUUACUAUAACUUCGUAUUGGAAUUUGGCCUAACAUGUGUAGGAUAGGUGGGAGACUUUGAAGCUGAGACGCCAGUAGCAGUGGAGUCAACCUUGAAAUACCACCCUUGUUAUGUUGAAUUUCUAACUUACCAUCAUAAUCAGGUGGGAGGACAGUGCGUGGUGGGUAGUUUGACUGGGGCGGUCGCCUCCUAAAGAGUAACGGAGGCGUUCAAAGGUACACUCAGUACGGUCAGAAACCGUAUGUAGAGCGCAAAGGCAGAAGUGUGCUUGACUGUGAGACAUACAAGUCGAGCAGGUGCGAAAGCAGGACUUAGUGAUCCGGCUGUACAUUGUGGAAUGGCAGUCGCUCAACGGAUAAAAGUUACCCUGGGGAUAACAGGCUAAUCUUGCCCAAGAGAUCACAUCGACGGCAAGGUUUGGCACCUCGAUGUCGGCUCAUCGCAUCCUGGAGCUGGAGUCGGUUCCAAGGGUUGGGCUGUUCGCCCAUUAAAGCGGUACGCGAGCUGGGUUCAAAACGUCGUGAGACAGUUUGGUCCCUAUCUGAUGUGGGCGUUGGAAUAUUGAUGAGAGCCGCUCUUAGUACGAGAGGACCGGAGUGGACGUACCGCUGGUGUUCCAGUUGUUCCGCCAGGAGCAUGGCUGGGUAGCUAAGUACGGAAAGGAUAACCGCUGAAAGCAUCUAAGUGGGAAGCCUCCUCAGAGAUUAGUAUUCCCUUGAAAUUCCUUAUAGACUAUGAGGUUGAUAGGCUGGAUGUGUAAGCACAGUAAUGUGUUGAGCUGACCAGUACUAAUAAAUUGAAAGGUUUAAAAG